AUGGCCUCUGGGCUGAGCUGGCUUCUCCUGGUGGCUGUGUUAGGAGGGGUCCAAUGUGAGGUGCAACUGGUGGAGUCUGGGGGAGACUUGGUGCAGCCCGGGGGGUCUCUGAAACUCUCCUGUGCAGCUUCCGGUUUCAAUUUUGGUGGCUAUGAAAUGAACUGGGUCCGCCAGGCUCCAGGGAAGGGCCUAGAGUGGAUUUCAUACAUUAAUACUGGUGGUGGUACUACAUACUAUGCCGACUCUGUGAAGGGUCGAUUCACCAUCUCCAGAGACAACAGCAAGAACACGCUCUCUCUGCAAAUGAGCAGCCUGAGGGAGGAGGACACGGCCCUGUACUACUGUGCGAGAGGCUUCCUGAUGGAAGUUUACAAUAAUGUGACCACGAUCUCAUUGGGGUCUGAGGGGCACAUUAUUCUCUUGUAG